rnacentral:lncRNA from 13 species
GACGAAGGUGCUCUUUCAAGAAGACAAUCACUUAAACUCACAAUACGACAGGCAGGUUUUCAGGCACCCAGGUUUAUGCAACUGUUGUAUUUAAUGGAAACGGAGGAUAAAGGAGACGUUUUAUUGGAUUUGAAUCCGUUCGACGGGAGGGAAACGGUGUAUUCUGAAUACAGGAAGAGGGAAACGGUGUAUCCUGAAUACAGGAAGAGGGAAACGGUGUAUCCUGAAUACCAGAAGAGGGAAACGGUGUAUCCUGAAUACCGGAAGAGGGAAACGGUGUAUCCUGAAUACCGGAAGAGGGAAACGGUGUAUCCUGAAACGGUGUAUCCUGAAUACCGGAAGAGGGAAACGGUGUAUCCUGAANNNNNNNNNNNNNNNNNNNNNNNNNNNNNNNNNNNNNNNNNNNNNNNNNNNNNNNNNNNNNNNCUUCCUCACCUGGGCUUCCCCACCUGGGCUUCCCCACCUGGGCUUCCCCACCUGGGCUUCCCCACCUGGGCUUCCUCACCUGGGCUUCCCCACCUGGGCUUCCCCACCUGGGCUUCCCCACCUGGGCUUCCCCACCUGGGCUUCCUCACCUGGGCUUCCCACCUCGGCUUCCUCACCUGGGCUUCUCCACCUGGGCUUCUCAAUAUUCCCUGGUCUAAAGUAGUGCACUAUGAAGGGAAUAGGGUGCGUUUGUGAUGUUAACUGUUGUGUUUUUCAACUGGCUGUACAAUUUUAUAUUCUUUCCCAUUCUGGGUCGUCAACAACACACAGGUCUGGACCUAUUUUAAUGAAGAGGUCUCUAUCCCCUAUGCCAUCCUAUUGCCUAUAUAGUACACUACUUUUGGCCCGGUCAGGCUAGGGACAAUAAUCCAACUCAAAUGUGACACUAAACAGUGGUUUGUAAUGACAUUGGGGAGUUGAGUGAGAGCUGGAGAUCAGCCACAUGUCUGUCACUCUGGCGUGUGUCUAGUGUGACACUGGAUGUGCCUGUAAAUACAUUGUGAAGAGAUUUGUUUUUAUGGGGAAUAAUAAAGUUUUAAUUGUAACAGGAUUUGUCUGGGUUUUUAUUUGUUUUGUUUGUGGUGGUUGACUUUUUUUGAUGGGAAAUUAAGAGUCCUGAGAAGAAACAAUGUUGUUUUUUUUGAAGUGAUCGUAUGGGUCAAACUGUUGUAGAGACGAAGGUGCUCUUUCAAGAAGACAAUCACUUAAACUCACAAUACGACAGGCAGGUUUUCAGGCACCCAGGUUUAUGCAACUGUUGUAUUUAAUGGAAACGGAGGAUAAAGGAGACGUUUUAUUGGAUUUGAAUCCGUUCGACGGGAGGGAAACGGUGUAUUCUGAAUACAGGAAGAGGGAAACGGUGUAUCCUGAAUACAGGAAGAGGGAAACGGUGUAUCCUGAAUACCAGAAGAGGGAAACGGUGUAUCCUGAAUACCGGAAGAGGGAAACGGUGUAUCCUGAAUACCGGAAGAGGGAAACGGUGUAUCCUGA